rnacentral:rRNA from 1 species
GAUGAACGCUGGCGGCGUGCCUAAUACAUGCAAGUCGAGCGAACGGACGAGAAGCUUUUUUCUCUGAUGUUAGCGGCUGACGGGUGAGUAAGACGUGGAUAACCUACCUAUAAGACUGGGAUGAUUUCGGGAAGCCGGAGCUAAUACCGCAGGAUACUUUGAACCGGAUGGUUCAAAAGUGAAUGACGGUUUUGCUGUCACUUAUAGAUGGAUCCGCGCUGCAUUAGCUAGUUGGUAAGGUAACGGCCUACCAAGGCUACGAUGCAUAGCCGACCUGAGAGGGUGAUCGGCCACACUGGAACUGAGACACGGUCCAGACUCCUACGGGAGGCAGCAGUAGGGAAUCUUCCGCAAUGGGCGAAAGCCUGACGGAGCCACGCCGCGUGAGUGAUGAAGGUCUUCGGAUCGUAAAACUCUGUUAUUGGGAAAGAACAUAUGUGUGAGUAACUGUGCACAUCUUGACGGUACCUAAUCAGAAAGCCACGGCUAACUACGUG